rnacentral:tRNA from 1 species
UCCCCAAUAGCUCAAUGGUAGAGCGCAUGACUGUUAAUCAUGAAGUUCCAAGUUCGAGUCUUGGUUGGGGAG